UGGGGAAUCUUGGACAAUGGGGGCAACCCUGAUCCAGCCAUGCCGCGUGAGUGAUGAAGGCCUUAGGGUCGUAAAGCUCUUUCGCCUGUGAAGAUAAUGACGGUAGCAGGUAAAGAAACCCCGGCUAACUCCGUGCCAGCAGCCGCGGUAAUACGGAGGGGGUUAGCGUUGUUCGGAAUUACUGGGCGUAAAGCGCACGUAGGCGGACCAGAAAGUUGGGGGUGAAAUCCCGGGGGCUCAACCCCGGAACUGCCUCCAAAACUAUUGGUCUAGAGUUCGAGAGAGGUGAGUGGAAUUCCAAGUGUAGAGGUGAAAUUCGUAGAUAUUUGGAGGAACACCAGUGGCGAAGGCGGCUCACUGGCUCGAUACUGACGCUGAGGCGCGAAAGCGUGGGGAGCAAACAGGAUUAGAUACCCUGGUAGUCCACGCCGUAAAACGAUGUCUGCUAGUCGUUGGGGGGCGUAGCCCUU
rnacentral:rRNA from 1 species